rnacentral:rRNA from 1 species
AUCAUGUUCUUGGUCAAUUAGAGGAAGUAAAAGUCGUAACAAGGUUUCCGUAGGUGAACCUGCGGAAGGAUCAUUACCUUUCAAUGCAGAAGAGUUGAGAUGGUUGAGUAUCUCGCCUCUCAAUUCUCGCUGUAUUUUACCCUUGUUUUUCUCAUACUAUUAUUUCCUCGGCAGGCUCGCCUGCCGGGUGAAACAACUUCAAACCUGUUUAAUUUUCAAUCAGCGUCUGAACAAAUUAAUAAUUACAACUUUCAACAACGGAUCUCUUGGUUCUGGCAUCGAUGAAGAACGCAGCGAAAUGCGAUAAGUAGUGUGAAUUGCAGAAUUCAGUGAAUCAUCGAAUCUUUGAACGCACAUUGCGCCCCUUGGUAUUCCAUGGGGCAUGCCUGUUCGAGCGUCAUUUGUACCUUCAAGCUCUGCUUGGUGUUGGGUGUUUGUCCUUGCUCUAGUGGCGGGACUCGCCUCAAAGUAAUUGGCAGCCAGUGUUUUGGUUUUGAAGCGCAGCACAAGUCGCGAUUCAAGUCUAUACGCUAGUUUCCACAAGUCUUUUAUCACUUUGACCUCGGAUCAGGUAGGAAGCCCAGUUCA